rnacentral:RNase_P_RNA from 1 species
GGGAGAGAGAGCCUGGCUGCCGCGGUGAUCAACUGGCAACGGGGCAAUCACAGAUGACUGUUGCUCGUCUUUCGAGACGUGCAACACACCCGCGUUGGCCCCCCUCGGGUGGCCGACGCACCAACGUGGUCCAUCCCUCCGGGAUGUGCCACGCUCGCGAGGAAAGUCCCCCCACCUGUUCGGGCAGGUGACCGGGCGCAAGCCCGGAGCGGAAGACCGCUGGCUCUGGAACAGAAACGACACGUCUCGGCCCGACCGAUGAUGCGUGCGAACCCAACCGAGAGGACGGGGAGUUGACCUGCAGAGGGUUGGGCUGGUCGAACGAUCCGUUCGACACCCCACACAGACGGCCGAGGAUCGAUGGAACGGCGAAUCCUCACCGGUGCAAGUCCAUGCCGUGGUAGCCCGAACACCCCGCGGCCUCGCCGCGGACGGCAUGGACGCUCAGCCGAAUGCCGGGAUGAACAGAAGGGGGCUUACUCCUCUCACCC